GUUAAAAAGCUCGUAGUUGGAUUUCUGGGAGGUUGCCAAUGUCCGCCGACGUGCGUGUGCAGCGGCGACCUCUCAUCCUUCUGUUAACGCCUCUUGGCAUUCAUUUGCUGGUGGCGGGCUCAGAUAUUUUACCUAGAGAAAAUUAGAGUGUUUCAGGCAGGCUAGGCCGGAAUACAUUAGCAUGGAAUAAUGGAAUAGGACUACGGUCUCUUUGUUGGUUUGAGGGACUGCAGUAAUGAUUAAUAGGGAUAGUUGGGGGCAUUAGUAUUUAAUAGUCAGAGGUGGAAUUCUCGGAUUUGUUAAAGACUAACUUAUGCGAAAGCAUUUGCCAAGGAUGUUUUCAUUAAUCAAGAACGAAAGUUAGGGGAUCAAAGACGAUC
rnacentral:rRNA from 1 species